rnacentral:rRNA from 1 species
AUGACGGACUUCCAAAACCUCAAUACACAAACUGAAUGCCUAAAUAGAGCACACCUAAUUCUGCUCCCCAAAACAGAACUGGCAAACACUCCCGACGCCUACCGCCCCAUCUCGCUUCAAAACUGCCCUAUAAAAGCCGUUGCAAAGGUGCUCACUAACAGGCUAAAACCAUUGAUCCCGCUGUUGGUUCAUGCUAACCAAACUGGGUUCAUCUCAGGCCGUAGCAUCACAGAAAACUUUAUUUACGCUGCCGACCUCGUCCGUGCCUGCCACUCCAGAAAGGCUCCAACAAUGGUAAUCAAGUUGGAUUUUAGCAAAGCUUUCGACUCACUCUCCUGGGACUCCCUUAUAUCCAUACUAAACUGCCGUGGUUUCCCGCAAAAAUUCACCGCAUGGAUCCACGACCUUCUCUCCACCGGAAAAACUGCUGUUAUGCUCAAUGGGAUCCUCGGUAACUAG